rnacentral:rRNA from 1 species
UACCCGCGUAGUCCCAGCCGUAAACUAUGCGCGUUAGGUGUAUCGGUGACCACGAGUCACCGAGGUGCCGAAGGGAACCGUAGAAACGUGCCGCCGUGGGAAGUACGGUCGCAAGGCUAGAAACUUAAAGGAAUUGGCGGGGAGCACCACAACGGGUGGAGCCUGCGGUUUAAUUGGACUCAACGCCGGGAAGCUCACCGGAUAAGACAGCGGAAUGAUUGCCGGGCUGAAGACUCUGCAUGACUAGCUG